rnacentral:rRNA from 1 species
AUUGAACGCUGGCGGCAGGCCUAACACAUGCAAGUCGAGCGGAUGAGGGAAGCUUGCUUCCCGAUUUAGCGGCGGACGGGUGAGUAAUGCCUAGGAAUCUGCCUAUUAGUGGGGGAUAACGUUCCGAAAGGAACGCUAAUACCGCAUACGUCCUACGGGAGAAAGUGGGGGAUCUUCGGACCUCACGCUAAUAGAUGAGCCUAGGUCGGAUUAGCUAGUUGGUGAGGUAACGGCUCACCAAGGCGACGAUCCGUAGCUGGUCUGAGAGGAUGAUCAGCAACACUGGAAAUGAGACACGGUCCAGACUCCUACGGGAGGCGGCAGUGGGGAAUAUUGGACAAUGGGCGCAAGCCUGAUCCAGCCAUACCGCGUGGGUGAAGAAGGCCUUCGGGUUGUAAAGCACUUUAAGCGAGGAGGAGGCUACUGAGACUAAUACUCUUGGAUAGUGGACGUUACUCGCAGAAUAAGCACCGGCUAACUCUGUGCCAGCCGCCGCGGUAAAAC